AUACGGAGGAUCCGAGCGUUAUCCGGAUUUAUUGGGUUUAAAGGGAGCGCAGGCGGAGAUGCAAGCGUGACGUCAAAUUUCGGGGCUCAACCCCGUCUCGCGUCGCGAACUGCGUCCCUUGGUUGCGGGAAGGGGAGGCGGAACUCGUGGUGUAGCGGUGAAAUGCAUAGAUAUCACGAAGAACUCCGAUCGCGAAGGCAGCCUUCCGGACCCGCAACGACGCUCAUGCUCCAAGGUGCGGGUAUCAACCAGGAUUAGAUUCCCUGGUAGUCCGCGCACUAAACGAUGGACACCCGCGGUUUGGCCUAUAUGGCUGAGCCGUCAAGCGAAAGCGUUACGUGUCCCACCUGGGGAGCUCGCCGGCAACGGUGAAUCUCAAUUGAAUUUGCGGGG
rnacentral:rRNA from 1 species